GUAACGCUGCAUGACUAUUGGCUGCGCAGCUGAAGUUCGCGUGCUGAUUGGCUGAUCAAUACUGUGAUACAGGGAGACCAAGUCAGAUGUUCCAGAAAUCUCCCUGAGAUUGAUCAUUGAGCUUUAUUUCCUGAGCAAUUCUUGAGCAUUGUGAGCACUACAGACUCUUCACUGCACAAUAUCCGGACUAUCUAUUCAGAGCACGACCUGCAUUUUUCUCUGCAGCUGAAAGCCUGGUUUUGGAUUUUCUCCAAGCAGCAGUUCUUCUGUAUUGUUCUUGCCUAACCCUUCCCCUUCCCUCCCCUCCCCUCCCCUCCCCAACCCAACACCCACCCACAAAAAAAAAAAAAAAAA